rnacentral:rRNA from 1 species
GUUGCAAAAUGCAGUGGCUCAU